AUUGAACGCUGGCGGAAUGCUUUACACAUGCAAGUCGAACGGUAGAGGGGGCAACCCCUCGAGAGUGGCGAACGGGUGAGUAAUAUAUCGGAACGUGCCCAGUCGUGGGGGAUAACGUAGCGAAAGUUACGCUAAUACCGCAUACGAUCUAAGGAUGAAAGCGGGGGAUCGCAAGACCUCGCGCGAUUGGAGCGGCCGAUAUCAGAUUAGGUAGUUGGUGGGGUAAAGGCUCACCAAGCCAACGAUCUGUAGCUGGUCUGAGAGGACGACCAGCCACACUGGAGCUGAGACACGGUCCAGACUCGUACGGGAGGCAGCAGUGGGGAGUUUAGGACAAUGGACGCAAGUCUGAUCCAGCCAUUCCGCGUGCAGUAUGAAGGCCCUCGGGUUGUAAACUGCUUUUGUACGGAACGAAAAGGUCUCUCUUAAUACGGGGGACUCAUGACGGUACCGUAAGAAUAAGCACCGGCUAACUACGUGCCAGCCGCCGCAGUUAA
rnacentral:rRNA from 1 species